UACAGAGGGUGCAAGCGUUGUUCGGAUUCAUUGGGCGUAAAGGGUGCGUAGGUGGCGGGGUAAGUCAGGUGUGAAAUCUCGAGGCUCAACCUCGAAACUGCACUUGAUACUGCCUUGCUAGAGUACUGGAGAGGAGAUUGGAAUUUACGGUGUAGCAGUGAAAUGCGUAGAUAUCGUAAGGAAGACCAGUGGCGAAGGCGAAUCUCUGGACAGUUACUGACACUGAGGCACGAAGGCCAGGGGAGCAAACGGG
rnacentral:rRNA from 1 species